rnacentral:rRNA from 1 species
GGGAAGUGGGGAUGACGUCAAAUCAUCACGCCCCUUAUGACCUGGGCUACACACGUGCUACAAUGGUUGGUACAACGAGUUGCGAGUCGGUGACGGCGAGCUAAUCUCUUAAAGCCAAUCUCAGUUCGGAUUGUAGGCUGCAACUCGCCUACAUGAAGUCGGAAUCGCUAGUAAUCGCGGAUCAGCACGCCGCGGUGAAUACGUUCCCGGGCCUU